rnacentral:rRNA from 1 species
UACGGAGGGUGCUAACGUUGUCCGGAAUCACUGGGCGUAAAGAGCAUGUAGGUGGCUUUGUAAGUGAGCGAUUAAAGACCAGCGCUUAACGCUGGGAAUGUUACUUAUACUGCAAGGCUUGAGGGUAGCAGGGGCAAGCGGAACUUUUAGGUGUAGGAGUGAAAUCCGUAGAUAUCUAAAGGAACACCAAUGGCGAAGGCAGCUUGCUAGGCUAUUUCUGACACUGAGAUGCGAAAGCGUGGGGAGCGAAUGGG